GAUGAACGCUGGCGGCGUGCCUAACACAUGCAAGUCGAACGGAAAUUAAAGGUGGAAGUUUUCGGAUGGAAACGUUAAAUUUUAGUGGCGGACGGGUGAGUAACGCGUGGGUAACCUGCCGUAUACAGGGGGAUAACACUUAGAAAUAGGUGCUAAUACCGCAUAAGCGCCCGGUGUCGCAUGACACAGGGUGAAAAGCUCAGACGGUAUACGAUGGACCCGCGUCUGAUUAGCUAGUUGGUGAGGUAGAGGCUCACCAAGGCGACGAUCAGUAGCCGGCCUGAGAGGGUGACCGGCCACAUUGGGACUGAGACACGGCCCAAACUCCUACGGGAGGCAGCAGUGGGGAAUAUUGCACAAUGGGGGAAACCCUGAUGCAGCGACGCCGCGUGAGUGAAGAAGUAUUUCGGUAUGUAAAGCUCUAUCAGCAGGGAAGAAAAUGACGGUACCUGACUAAGAAGCCCCGGCUAACUACGUGCCAGCCGCCGCAGUAAGAC
rnacentral:rRNA from 1 species